GCUCAGCUGUCAUCACUCAUGGACGGUCACAGCUGCAGCUCAUUAGGUGUCCCAGCUGCAGAUAAUCCUUGGCAAUCAAGAUCUCCUCACCUGGUGAUGAACCUUUAGACACCUUUGUACUACAGCUUCUAGUCAGUAUCUCUGUCUGUCUACCAGAGCUAUUUUCAACCACCAGCCAGUACACUCACCAUCAUUUGCACAAUUGUUGUAAAAUAAACUUCUUUAACUUUG